rnacentral:rRNA from 1 species
GAUGAACGCUGGCGGCGUGCCUAAUACAUGCAAGUCGAGCGAACAGACGAGGAGCUUGCUCCUCUGACGUUAGCGGCGGACGGGUGAGUAACACGUGGAUAACCUACCUAUAAGACUGGGAUAACUUCGGGAAACCGGAGCUAAUACCGGAUAACAUGUUGAACCGCAUGGUUCAGCAGUGAAAGACGGUCUUGCUGUCACUUAUAGAUGGAUCCGCGCCGCAUUAGCUAGUUGGUAAGGUAACGGCUUACCAAGGCAACGAUGCGUAGCCGACCUGAGAGGGUGAUCGGCCACACUGGAACUGAGACACGGUCCAGACUCCUACGGGAGGCAGCAGUAGGGAAUCUUCCGCAAUGGGCGAAAGCCUGACGGAGCAACGCCGCGUGAGUGAAGAAGGUCUUCGGAUCGUAAAACUCUGUUAUUAGGGAAGAACAAAUGUGUAAGUAACUAUGCACGUCUUGACGGUACCUAAUCAGAAAGCCACGGCUAACUACGUG